rnacentral:rRNA from 1 species
UACGUAGGUGGCAAGCGUUGUCCGGAUUUACUGGGCGUAAAGAGCGCGCAGGCGGCCGGAUAAGUCGAGUGUGAAAGCCCCUGGCUCAACCAGGGAGGGUCAUUCGAUACUGUUCGACUCGAAGGCAGGAGAGGGAAGUGGAAUUCCGGGUGUAGUGGUGAAAUGCGUAGAUAUCCGGAGGAACACCAGUGGCGAAGGCGACUUUCUGGCCUGUUCUUGACGCUGAGGCGCGAAAGCUAGGGGAGCAAACGGG